ACAAGAGCCCGUAGUCGAAUCGCCCCGGCGAAUGUGACGACCGCCGCGCGGCCCCUGGAGGUGUGAAGGCGGCUGGAAUGCCGCGCCGCAGAGGGUGAAAGCCCCGUUGCACGCCUUUCUCGGGCUGCUGGCGCCAGCGAGUCGGAUAGCUUGGGAGUGCUGUCUCAAGCGGGUGGUACACUCCACCGAAGGCUAAAUACCGGCACGAAACCGAUAGCGAACAAGUACUGUGAAGGAAAGUUGAAAAGGCGUCUGAGAAGACGGUCAAAAGUACGCGAAACCGCCGGCGGGGAAGCGGAGCGGCGGUCAUGUGUCAUGUGGCGGGUCCACGGUGGUUUGGAAUGCGGGUGUGUCGCAGCCUGCUGUCCAACCCCUGCAAUUGCCCUACCACCAUGGCCCCCGAAGCGGUCAACCGGGGUUCUACGUUUCCUAAGAUUCUUCUACGGAUUACCCCGGACCGCCACGCACCGCCCGCUCCGACCCGUCUUGAAACACGGACCAAGGAGGCCGAGGCCGCGCCGAGUCGUGAGGUGCCAAACCUGACGGCGGAGCGAACGCGACAGUGUCACCUCCUAAAAAGAACUGCAGCACUAACGACCCCCUCCGGGGGCCGGGAGGCGCGGCCGCGGGACCCGAAAGAUGGUGAACUAUGCCCGGCCAAGACGAAGCCAGAGGAAACCCUGGUGGAGGUCUGGACAAGUUUUGACGUGCAAAUCAAUUUGGCGAGCUGGGCAUAGGGGCGAUAGACUAAUCGAACCAUCUAGUAGCUGGUUCCCUCUGAAAUUUCCCUCAGGAUCGCUGGAGCGCCCGCAGCUGCGCCGGGUAGAGCAAUGACUGGAGGCACCAGGGCCGCCGGCCUUGGCCUACUCUCAAACUCCCAACCGGCGAGCAGGCUCCUAA
rnacentral:rRNA from 1 species